UCCUAGGUGAUGAAUACACAGAUGUACUUGAAGGGUGGCUGCAUCUUGACUCCAUGAGGACAGAAGCUCCUGCAAUUGGGACCCUUCCAAUCUUGCCCCGUGUGGCUCUAUGAGUGGCUCUUCAUUCGUAUCCUUUAUAAUAAAAGAAUCUAAUCUCAAGGAGAUUUGAGGUACUAAAACUCAAUGCAUGGACCAUAAAAUGUGGAGAAAACAGGCAGAAGCCAGAAAAGGAAAUUCCUCCUGGUACAUUCCCUUAAACACCUUGGAGCCUUUAUGUUAAGGGAAGUGACUGGGUAGAGUAAGAAUGUAUGAAAAAUACUCAAGAAUAAAGUUCAUCUGUAUUCAUCUGUGGUAUCUCAGCCACCACAAUAAGAACAAAUAGGCUCGCCCAUCUGAGAUGAAGUGAAGUGGAUUUCUGGAAGUAGGAGAGCAAAGCCAGAGGCUGAAGGCUGGGACUGUCUUGUGACUAUCCCUGUAGAUAAGGGGCUUUGAAUGGUUGGCCCAUCCCCCAUCCUGGACACACCUGGACACCAGAAGCACGUGGCUGUUACUCUGCUGUCUCCCAAGAUUUACCAGUGCCCCUCAGUUCCAAAAAGUGUGAUCUACGAAUU